rnacentral:rRNA from 1 species
GAACACCGGUGGCGAAGGCGGCUUUCUGGACUGUAACUGACACUGAGGCACGAAAGCGUGGGGAGCAAACAGGAUUAGAUACCCUGGUAGUCCACGCCGUAAACGAUGAGCACUAGUUGUUGGGUCCGAACGGAUUCAGUGACGCAGUUAACGCAAUAAGUGCUCCGCCUGGGGAGUACGGUGGCAACACUAAAACUCAAAGGAAUUGACGGGGACCCGCACAAGCAGCGGAGCAUGUGGUUUAAUUCGAAGCAACGCGAAAAACCUUACCAGGGCUUGACAUCCCUCUGACCGGNCCUUAACCGGNCCUUUCUUCGGACAGAGGUGACAGGUGGUGCAUGGUUGUCGUCAGCUCGUGUCGUGAGAUGUUGGGUUAAGUCCCGCAACGAGCGCAACCCUUGUCGUCAGUUACUAACAUUNAGUUGAGGACUCUGACGAGACUGCCGAGGUNAACUCGGAGGAAGGUGGGGAUGACGUCAAAUCAUCAUGCC